rnacentral:rRNA from 1 species
AUGGCGGAGGAACCGUCCGCCAAGCGUCAUCAAGACGAGCCGUCGAACAAGAGCAGCAACCUCGUCGACGUUCACGUCCCCGGCGAGAAGUGCGAGUACACCAAAACCCUCAGAGGGGUUGAGCUCCACGGCAAGGAGACGCUGGAGAUCGUCUGCACCAGCGAACCAGACAAGGCCAACGAGGUGAUCUCCAGGCUCUGGAGGAAGCUUGGCGGCAUGCCCAAGCGCCUGAACGAGUUGAUGCAGCAUGAGACGUUGUUCACAUUUGCCGGUUUCAGCUUUGAAAGCGACAAAGAGAAGCUGAAGUUGUCCGGUUUGGAGAUCAACCCCAACAAGUUCAUCGACAUUCAGCGCAAGUGGAGAGUUCCAUACACCGGAAAAGAGUACGACUCCUUGACUGAUGUUGCAGCCAGCGUCAUCCACCCAUUCUACAAAGGCAUGAAGAAGAACAUCAACACGCAGGAAGACUACAAACUGUGGGGGACCAGCCCGCUGCCAGACAACCUCAUUGAGUACGCAGGAGUAGAUGCGUAUGCCACGUACAAGUCAUGGAGCAUGAUCGACUACAUCAUAGAUGGUUCGGAAUUUGCAAAAGAGCGGGAGGAUGCGAAAUUCUACGACCACCCCUAUUUCCCCUUUUAG